rnacentral:lncRNA from 1 species
GGACGGGAGCCGCUCCCGGGCGGCACACAGCCGAGUCCCUCCUCCCCUCCCCGCAGGCAGCCUGUGCCUUUUCUCCAAACGAAGACAGCACUUUGAAAAUUCUUUCAAUGGAUUUUUUUUUCCUUGAAAGAUCGUACUGGGGGAAAAUGAUACUUCUAUUAGUUACAUAUUCUCCAAUCGCAUACUCGCACCCCCCUCGUUUUGAGAUCGCUCCCCUAGGCAGGCUCAGGCGGGCGCGGAGCCGCGCGGAGUGACAAAGCCGCCGCUGCCGCCGCCGGGGGUGGGAGCCGCGCUCGCCCGCCCGCCCCUCGACUCGCGAGGGCGUAAAAGUUUGUCUCAGCUCGAGCAUUCCUAGCGCCAACACGCCCUCAGGUAAAGGUGGAAGUAAAUGGCCACGCUGUAUUGACAGAGCAGGUAGAUGAAACUCAAGAGAAAAGGUGUGGAUAAAUGAAACUAGCCCAUGAUGAACCUGUUUUCUCCGUGACCACAAUAUUAACCAGGAUGAAUGGCGGUGGCAGUGGGCCUGCAUCACAGGUUGCAGCAGAUGUUCUCAAUAUUUCUAUUAAAAUUUCCUUAUUUCCAUAUGCAAGAGGAGCCCCAGAGCUGCAUCCUUAUGGUAGCUACCAUGCCGUGAUGUAAGCUGCCAUUCACUGGGGAGCUUUGGCAAUAGAAUUGGCUAGAUCAGGAAGCCUAUGUCAACUAUGGAACAACAACUUGCAGCUCAUCUCUAUUGAUGGUGAAACAGUCGCAAAUGGAAUUCCAAGAAACAUUCUAUAUACACUGCCUCUAGGACUGGGACAGAUAGCCACUGAGUACCUGCUUCAAAUCACCCUGCACGUUUUCUCUUUGGAAAGAUAAGCACUGGAGAACCAUCUCGUUACCUUCAGCAGAAAUGGAAACAAAUCAAGACAUUAAGAAUGCCGCAGUGGACAGCAGUUAUGCAAGGUUCAGCAGAGGAAGUUUUCAAGAUGGUGUGCCUCACUAGCCAGAAAUCAGAAAAGAUCGAAGCUAGCCUUUUCAUCUCAGCUGCUCCUUAAAUCAGUGCAACCCCUCCAAAUUAAUGUGAAUUGAAACUUGCAUUGCUUUUCAACUUAAUUGAAUACUUACUAUAUGUGAACCACUGCACAAAAUAGGGGAAGAAGAUGUGGGAGACAAAGAUGUGGAGCCUGUCUUCAAUAAAUUUACAGUUAGUUUCAGGGUACAUUGUUUUUCUUCUGCUGUUAAUUAGGUGUAUCCCCAAGACAAUAAAUACAUGAAUGGAAAAGUAUAUUCUGUGUUUUAAGUCUCUUUAAUAAAAAACAAAACAAAAUCCAAAAAAACUCCUAACAUGGCAACUCAGGACAUUUUAAUCCUUUUUUUUGUUGUUGGGCUUCUGAUAGGAUCCAUUUUAUUGAUUCCAUAAAUAUUUAGUAGACUUUAGACAUAUUAAUACAUUGUAGUUUGAGUUAAUUUGCAUUAAAUUCUGUUUUUUUCCCCUUAGGUAUAGAUUGUCUGUUGGAAAAAUAUAUUGCUUGUGGAUUUCUUGGGGAGUGGGAAGGUGAAUUAUACCUGUUGUCUCUACAGUCCACUACCUUCCACACCCUAGGGCAGUGGUCCCCAACCUUCUUGGCACCAGGGAUCAGUUUCCUGGAAGACAAUUUUUCUGUGGAUGGUGUGGGGAUGGUUUUGGGAUGGAACUGUUCCACCUCAGAUCAUCAGGCAUUAGUUAGGCUCUCAUAACGAGUGCGCAGCCUAGAUCCCUCACAUGCACAGUUCACAGUAGGGUUUGCGCUGCUAUGAGAAUCUAAGGCUGCCACUGAUCUGACAGGAGGCAGAACUCAGGUGGCAAUGCUUACUGGCCCACUGCUCACCUCUUGCUGUGCGGCCUGGUUCCUAAUAGGCCAUGGACCCCCACAGACGGGUACUAGUCUGCAGCCUGUGGACCCCAGCCCUAGGGGCCUGCCAUUCUGAGUGAGUUAUUAGCAUGAAGAAGAGGAAGAUCUGGAUCAAACGUGGGUGAUGGUACUCAGAGACCCAAGAUAGGAUAGGGAUGGAACAAAAUCCAUCUGGGCAACGGCUCUAUGAAAAUUUGGCUAAGUAAUUAUUUCAGUAUUCAUUGUAUUCAUUGUCCUUCGUGUUCCAUAAGUUAAAUGACUGUCUAAUUUUUCCAAAAAUUUAUUUCUGACUUGAGAAUAAGUGUGUCAUGAUUUUCCCAGUGUAAAGACACUGAUAUAACUGUAGAUACCAGACAUUUUAUGUAGUGUCUAUGACACAUUUUAGUAUGUAUGAGCCAACAAUAGACAUGUCUUUGUCUUGAGGAGUGUCCAUCUGAAUUGAAAAUGUGUCAGCUUUUUUUUAACAUCAUCAACAGACUUCUUAAUUAAGCUGCCAAUACAUACUGCCAAUAGCACUGUGUGCUGUCUGAGAAAUGCAUUGUGUAAGUGCUAUUUCCAUCUUAUUAAAUAAACAAUGUUGCUCUGUAUAAACUGGAUUUAAAGUGUUCUUUGAAUGAGGCAUUAUAUUGCUCCAUAAAUAAUGUGAUGUGAAUUCUCAUAUGAUCCCUUUUAACUUAAUUUCUAAAAAAAUAUUAUUUGCUCCUCAGUAAGGAAUAGCUCUAAUUGGACUGGUAACUUUAGUGAUAUGAUUUGUCUGUAACAGGCUGAAUCGCCCCACUCCCAAACUCCUGGUCGUGAUACUGGAUAUUUGUUAUGCCACUUUUAGUUUGCAUGAGGUAUCUUCCAGGAAGUAUUAGUUAUUAACUUGUGUUCUACUAAACUGUAGAUAUUUAUUUCCUGUUCUGGAAGAUUUCUUGGAGUGUCCAUCUGUGCAUUCCUGGUGCCUAGUGUAGUCUUGCUAAUGGAAUAGCACCUUUAUUGGUGCUACUUAGGGGUUGGUAGCUUACAAUCAAUCUACUUGGAACGUAUCCAAAUAAACUGGAU